rnacentral:rRNA from 1 species
GAUGAACGCUGGCGGCGUGCCUAAUACAUGCAAGUCGAGCGAACAGACGAGGAGCUUGCUCCUCUGACGUUAGCGGCGGACGGGUGAGUAACACGUGGAUAACCUACCUAUAAGACUGGGAUAACCUCGGGAAACCGGAGCUAAUACCGGAUAAUAUAUUGAACCGCAUGGUUCAAUAGUGAAAGACGGUUUUGCUGUCACUUAUAGAUGGAUCCGCGCCGCAUUAGCUAGUUGGUAAGGUAACGGCUUACCAUGGCAACGAUGCGUAGCCGACCUGAGAGGGUGAUCGGCCACACUGGAACUGAGACACGGUCCAGACUCCUACGGGAGGCAGCAGUAGGGAAUCUUCCGCAAUGGGCGAAAGCCUGACGGAGCAACGCCGCGUGAGUGAUGAAGGUCUUCGGAUCGUAAAACUCUGUUAUUAGGGAAGAACAAAUGUGUAAGUAACUAUGCACGUCUUGACGGUACCUAAUCAGAAAGCCACGGCUAACUACGUG